GCGGACAUAGUUUAACGAAAACGCUAGAUUGUGAUUCUGGAAAUAGAGGUUAGACCCCUCCUGCCCG
rnacentral:tRNA from 1 species